AACAACUAGGAAGUCACGGGACUUGGUUUUAUUUGGAAGUGGGGAACAAAGAAGUCCGUGACUUCUCUCUUGUUUUGACACCAUGCAAACUUGGAAGAUAAAAAGGAGGUACUGGGUUCUCAAAUGGGGAAGAGUCUUUGCUACCUUGCUGCCAUUUUUGUGAGAAAAGGAGAAGUUCAAAGCUUGGUGGAAUUGCUUGGAGCUGCAAGUUUUGGAAGAGUUAGACUCAAAGAAUUCACAAAGGAAGUCUUCAAGAGGUGGGUUUCUGAGCGUUCGUUCAGAUAAGUGGAUUAACGAGCGUUGGUGAUAAGGAUUUGAGUAGAGAGCGUCUGUGUGCGCCUGUGAACGUUCGUUCAUUUCCGGAUGGAGACGAGCGUUUGGAAGAGGCGCUGAACGAAGAGAAUCUGGUUGAGGUUGAAGUAAAGACCGAGCAGUGAGGCGCUCGGCUAGUAGUGGUUGGCAUGAGUGGUCGUUCGACCCUCUCUUGUUUUCUUUUAAGAUUAUUUCGACCGUUCGGUAAUUGUUCUGUGUAAACUGUUCGGUCAGGUUUUUAUUUGUGCGUUCGACUUCAGAUUGUGAUUCGUGUUGUAAGGUGUACGGCUUGGCUUUUGUUUUUAGUGAAAAACUGUACUGAAUUAUUAUUAAAUGUGAGCAAAGGUUAAGCAAGACUAGGUCAAAAGUUAACCCAGUCGCUCUAGACCAAAGGUUAAGCAAAGUAGGUCGAGUUGGACUGGUUAGAAGAUUGAGUCAAGUUAGUCGAAUUUGAAGGUUGAGCAAAGUUAUCUUGGUUGUGUUGGGAAUCCAAGUGUGAGUCUAAGGCCCACAUUGGAUAGAAAUGAGAAAGUAGAACAUUAUAUAAAGAUGAAAUAGCCAUUAACUCAUUACCUUAAGGUUUUUGGUAGAGAAUGGUGUCAAUCCAUUAUAUGAUUGGGCUUAGAUGUUAUUGGUGUUUGUAUCUCUUCGGUGAAAUUCGGUACUAGUUAGAGUAACCCUAGUUACUUGGAGUGACUAGGGAUACUAGGAGUGAUGAGACUACUUAGUUUUAAUCUUGUUGAAAAUUAUACUGGAAUCCUCUAAAGUGUCAGAGAUGACUAGACGUAGUAUAAAA